UGAGGAGCUCCAAGCUGCAUGGCCUCCCUCCCUGCCUCCCGCCUCCCCGAAUGCCCUGGUGAAUGGGCCCCGGAGCUUGCCGAGACGUGGCCGGGGUCUCUCUGCAGACAAGCAUAAUGAAAAGCUGGAGGCCUCGCCUGUGGGGUUCUGUCCUCUGGGCCACAUGCAGCUAUGCCAAGCAGGGAUGAUGUGGGAGAGAAGAAAGGGAAGAAAUAGACUAUGCAGCACUUAAACCCCCAGCUCGCUCCUGGCUUGAUGCAGUGGGCUGUUCUCAGUAUAGACAGGGACUCUGGGACACUUGAUGGGCUGCUGCUGCUGUCAAUUCCUGCAGGGAUUUCACGAGCUGGAAGAACACAAGCCUGCAGCAAAGAAUCCCAUGCGAGUGGGAUUCUCAGGCGACUCUGCCUCCCCAGGAUGAUUUGGGAGAACAGGUCCGGGCUGCUUCAAAUGGUGGCCAGUCAGAGACAUGAAGUGGCUCCUCUCUACAGGGACAUCAGAGCUGAGAUCAGGGCAGCCCCAGGAUUCGAGAGAAGGGCAUCCUGGCAGCUCAGGCCCUGUGGCAAUGACCGUCGCGCUUAACCCUCCUAUGCAAUCAACUCAAACCCAGAACUCAAUAGCAACAACACUAUUUGCUUUCUGGACAGCCUCUUAAGAGGCUCUAAAUCAGUAGGUCUCCCACAAUUGAGCUGUGCAGCUUUUGAUAAAGGAAAUGACUUUUCUGAGCAUUGAUUUCUUCAUCAGUAAAGUGAAAAUAGCUUCACCCAUCUCUCCAAUAUUGGGAGAAUAAUGUAAAAUGCUGACCACCACUUCUGGCACAUUUGGUAAGUGCUCUAUCAAUGACAGCUGAUGCUCUUUUUUCCUCCUCCCCUCCAUUUCUUCUCGACUAAAGCUUUUGUCAAAGGUUAAUGUCUCCCCCAGAGGUGUGGGUUGUCACUGAUCUUGCUUCAACACUGGAAAAUCAAGGCCUCAUCACUGCUUACCCAGGGUCAAACAUCCAUGGUCAAGAUCAGGAUCCCAAGAAAUCUCAAAGCUCUACCCUGCACCCAGACCUCUUGGGCUUACAAUGCACCCUUUUCAAUGCCCAUAUUCUCUGCAGCAAAGAAACAAUGUGUGGACUCAGUUGUGCCCCCACGCUCCCUGUCCGCAGCUGCCCUUGCAGUGUCCUGCUGCUGGCUGUGGCCAGCUGACCCGUUGGGCUCUCCUCCUGACCCUCCUUCCAUCUGUUCCAUCCUCACCCACCCAAGGAGCCGCCCCUGCUCCUAGAGACUCUGGGCACCACUGAUAAGGGUGGGUACCAGGAACUCCACCCUUUACCGAGAAAGGCAGGCUGGUUUAUCGCCACUCAGACCCAGCCAGCGACCACCCUGGGGAGUGUGUCAGCCACCAGGAGCAUCGCUGUUGGGGAAAUGUUAUUAACUAGGAAGGAACUUUACAGAAUGUUCCACACAAAUGUCACAUUGAAUUCAAUCAGAAAUCCAGCCUGACCCCCCCUAAACCUGGUCAUUCCUUCUUAACCUUAAUGGCAGUGACAGAAGAAAGGGAGAGAGGAAUGGAGUCUUGGUUGUUUUUCUAUUUAACUUUGUGUAGGGAGUGCCCAGUGGUCAAUUAAGGUGUCCUGGGCACCCGGCCUGGCUGGAGUAAGGGAUGGCAAGUGCGGGGGUCUAUUUAGGGAGGUGAUCAGAGCCCGGAUCAGGCCCCACAGAGUUGGCACCAAUCUCCAUCAUGUUCUUUUUAAGAGGGUUGGCAGCCCUGGAGUCUAUUUUUAAACCCAUGAGAAAGGUGCUGUGUGGAUUCCAAAAAGGGCCAACAUUAAACCCGAGAUCCCUGGAGGAGGGAGGGAAGGGGGGAGGCACAGCUGAACCUAGGAUUUUCUCUUCACACACACAGGGGUUCCCCUUAUUCCUGGGAUCAGAUAUUGACUGUCCUUCCAAAGGGAUCUCUUGGGUUACAGGCCCACUCUUUGGCAUGGCUUUGGUGGAAUUCGACUCCUAACGAGCUCGUGAGUUGGAAAGGGUUUUGCACACCGGGUCUCUUUUUCAGAAUUGAGAUUUUUUUAAAUCCCUCUACCCCCAGUGUGAAAACUCCAUGUGCUUUUGAUAUAUCCGGCAUCUCCCCCUUCUUCCUACUUUCAAAUCACAUGUUCUGGAACCCCCGCUCCCUCCUGCAUGCACUGCAGAGCCCACAGCCGAGAAUCUACAACAGGAAGAUCCAAGGAAAGUCUAAGUUCCCCACGGCCACGGUGCCCAGCUCCCCAGAAACCCAGUCCCGGUGCUGGAGAAGGAUGGGGAGUGGACCCAAGUGGCAAGCCUGCGGGGGACAGGAUUAUUUUCCCAAUAGUGAGAAAUAAACAGGCAUCCAAACGCCACUGUUUCCCAUCAAAUAACCAG
rnacentral:lncRNA from 1 species